UACAGAGGGUGCGAGCGUUAAUCGGAAUUACUGGGCGUAAAGCGCACGUAGGUGGCGACGUAAGUCGGGUGUGAAGGCCCCGGGCUCAACCCUGGGAAUUGCAUUCGAGACUGCAUUGCUGGAGUACGGAAGAGGAAGGCGGAAUUCCCGGUGUAGCGGUGAAAUGCGUAGAUAUCGGGAGGAACAUCAGUGGCGAAGGCGGCCUUCUGGUCCAGUACUGACACUCAAGUGCGAAAGCG
rnacentral:rRNA from 1 species